rnacentral:rRNA from 1 species
UCCGUAGGGGGCAAGCGUUGUCCGGAUUUAUUGGGCGUAAAGAGCGUGUAGGCGGCCAUACAGGUCCGUUGUGAAAACUGGAGGCUUAACCUCCAGACGUCGAUGGAAACCGUAUGGCUAGAGUCCGGAAGAGGAGAGUGGAAUUCCUGGUGUAGCGGUGAAAUGCGCAGAUAUCAGGAGGAACACCGAUGGCGAAGGCAGGUCUCUGGGCCGAUACUGACGCUGAGGAGCGAAAGCGUGGGGAGCGAACAGG